AUACUUACCUGGCAGGGGAGACACCAUGAUCACAAAGGUGGUUUUCCCAGGGGGAGCUUAUCCAUUGCACUCCGGAUGUGCUAACCCCAGUGAUUUCCCCAAAUGUGGGAAACUGAACUGCAUAAUUUGUGGUAGUGGGGGACUGUGUUUGUGCUCUCCCCUA
ensembl:snRNA U1 U1 spliceosomal RNA